rnacentral:tRNA from 1 species
AUCCAUAUAGUUUAAACUAAAACGUUAAUCUUGUAAAUUAAAAAUAGAUUAAAUUCUUAUAGAUA